UAUCGGUUCACCACGAGGUGAUUAAUAGGGAAACGAGUGUGAAUCUCGUACAGUCCCGCUGCUGUGAGUUGUCCUUUGUGGCACAAACAAAGAGUCACUGAUAUUUUCGGGAAGACGUUUGAUGCCAGACAAUAAGUCAGAAGACCUGCCGAUAUAU
rnacentral:ncRNA from 1 species